GGGUGUAGUACAACGGCAGUGCGGCGGUCUCCAAAACCGUUAAUGCGGGUUCGAUUCCUGCCACCC
rnacentral:tRNA from 1 species